AUUGAACGCUAGCGGCAUGCUUUACACAUGCAAGUCGAACGAGUGGCGGACGGGUGAGUAAUAUAUCGGAACGUGCCCACUAGCGGGGGAUAACUACUCGAAAGAGUGGCUAAUACCGCAUACUUUUGGAGCGGCCCAUAUCGCAUUAGCUAGUUGUUGGGGUAAAGGCUCACCAAGGCAACGCUCCGUAGCGGGUUUGAGAGGACGACCAGCCACACUGGGACUUGGACCCGGCCCAGACUCCUACGGGAGGCAGCAGUGGGGAAUUUUGGACAAUGGGGGAAACCCUGAUCCAGCCAUCCCGCUUGUAUGAGAAGGCCUUCGGGUUGUAAAGUACUUUUGGCAGAGAAGCGGUAACAGAAGAAUAAGCACCGGCUAACUACGUGCCAGCAGCCGCGGUAAGAG
rnacentral:rRNA from 1 species